UGGUUCUGGCAUCGAUGAAGAACGCAGCGAAAUGCGAUAAGUAAUGUGAAUUGCAGAAUUCAGUGAAUCAUCGAAUCUUUGAACGCACAUUGCGCCCCCCGGCAUUCCGGAGGGCACACCUGUCCGAGCGUCAUUACAACCCUCAGGCUCUGCCUGGUCUUGGGUAUGGUCCACCUGGACCUUCCUGCAACUCGUGUGGUGGGACCAGAAAGCCCCAGAUGUAGCAACAGCACAAUUCAUCAAGGGGCUGACGGUUUUGGCCUAAGAAAAAACCCAGCAGUCUGACCUCGGAUCAGGUGGGAACACCCGCUGA
rnacentral:misc_RNA from 1 species